GUUACCGACCCCGCGCCGCCCGCGGCCCGCGCGCCCCUUCCCGGACAGUUCCUCUCGGCGCCCCCGAGUCCUCCCCGCGCGCCGCUUCCCGGGUGGGCCCUUCCACCAGAACCCCCUGGUAGAUCCUCCCCUGGUGCCCUGGGGGUAGAGGGGAGAUCCUCCACAAGGGCCAUUUCCCUGGUGAUCCCUCCCUGUGCCCCACAGGUCUAAGGAGAGGAGAGUCCAGUGAGUGACCCAGACGCCCCAGCCAGGAAGAGCAUGAGGUGCGAAGGGGGCUUCCCAGAUGGAGAGAAACAGAUGGUCCCAGAGUGGCUUGGAGACAGGUGCAACAUCAGUGUUGGGGGAGGACAUGGAGCGGAGCGUUCAGGGCUAUCAGGAGGGAGCCCCGUGGCCACGGUGCAAGAUCUAGGCAGGCGGGACAGACAUGGUCAGGAUGCUGGGGACACAGCAUGGGGAAUCCAGCACACAGGACACCAUCCAGCAGGAAAGCAAAGCUGCAGCCUGAGAUCUCCUUCCACCAACUCCUGGCAUGGCCAGAAAGUUAGCCAGAAACACCAGAAAGUGCCAGGCAGCUAGGAAGCAUGGGGAGAGCCCCCUGAAGCUGCGUGUGUAGUGCCUGCUUCCGCUGCCAUCCCAGAAAUGGACGAGCUUCACCCUGAGAACCCAGCCACACCACUGGGACACAUCCUGACAGUGACAUGCACACUCUUCCCUGGCCCCAGCCUGGAGAGGAGCCUCCUGAAGACACCAGCCUUUGCUCCUUCUCCCAGUGGGAGUGGAGAGAACUGACUGCUGGAGUGGAGACAGUCAAGGCUGUCCUUCUGAGGGAGCACAGCACAGGGUCUGGUGUCCCAGGGAGGCAAUCUGAAAUUCAAGCCAGGCCUCCCCAGCGGAGAGGACACACCCCUCACCAUGCAGAGUGACGUUUAGUAAACUCUCAAAAGAGAGCACAGAGCCCCACUCCUCCAGCCGACCCAUACUCUGCCUCCCCACUCCAGACCAGUGAACAAGGUGGAUUGCCCUUAAGCCAGCUCAGAGGCAAAGUCCAAAGACCUCAGGUGAGUCAAACAAUAAAAACAAAGAAUUAAGAAGAAUCCAGCUGGGUGCGGUGGCUCACGCCUGUAAUCCCAGCACUUUGGGAGGCUGAGGCGGGAGGAUCACGAGCAGGAGGUCGAGACCAUCCUGGCUAACACGGUGAAACCCCGUCUCUACUAAAAAUAGAAAAAAUUAGCUGGGCGUGGUGGCGGGCGCCUGUAGUCCCAGCUACUCCGGAGGCUGAGGCAGAAGAAUGGCGUGAACCCAGGAAGCGGAGCUUGCAGUGAGCCGAGAUCAUGCCACUGCACUCCAGCCUGGGCGACAGAGCGAGACUCCGUCUCCAAAAAAAAAAAAAAAAAAAAAAUCCAUCCACUCCAUCCACUUAGUAGCAGAGCGAAUAGACAUUCAGGAAAGAGCUUUCACGUCAGAAAGCACUACAGAAGUAGUGGCAUAUCCCCGGAGGCUGAGGUGGGAGCAUUGCUGAGAGGUGGCACGUGACCACAUCCAUGUCAUUCAACAACAGAAAAACAAGUCAUCGAGGGUGUGAGGGGCCGGUGAGAAACCCAGUAUGGAAGAAAACACAACUGGGCUGAGCGUGGUGGCUCACGCCUGUAAUCCCAGCACUUUGGGAGGCCAAGGCAGGAGGAUCACCUGAGGUCAGGAGUUCGAGACCAGCCUGGUCAACAUAGUGAAACCUCAUCUCUACUAAAAAUACAAAAAAAUUAACUGGGUGUGGUAGCGCGUGCCUGUAGUCCCAGCUACUCCGGAGGCUGAGGCAGGAGAAUUGCAUGAACCCAGGAGCCGAGACCACACCACUGCACUCCAGCCUGGGGGCGGCACAGUGAGACUCCGUCUCAAAGAAACAAAAAUAAAAAAUAAAUAAAUAAAUAAAUAAAUAAAUAAGAAAACGCAACCAAAGAAACAGAAGAGGACUCCACAGGACUUCUUUCAGAGCUUCAUAGCAGCAUGAAUUCAACAAUCAGGAAUUCAAAUGCUUGACGACAAAACAGCAGGAUGGGAGGAAGAGUUAAGAGCCAAGCAAACCGGAAGCACCAAAAUCGCACCGUGGCUGGAUCAAGUCAUAAACAGCAAAGGGCAGAAUAUCAAGUUACUUGGAGAUGAAAGGCUUGAGAUAAUUUCAGAGCAAGACAAAGUGAUUAAC
rnacentral:lncRNA from 1 species